rnacentral:lncRNA from 1 species
ACAUACAUCUGUAGUCUGCAUUUCUUCGGGCUGCCUUUGUAGAAGGCGCUAUGAGAAAGUGAAUGCCUUACAAUCUAAGCAAGUUGGGACACCAAAGCAGGAUCACUACUCUUGGAAUCAAAGAUAAAUCCAAAUACUGCAUAUCAGAAACAACAGGAUACAUUAAUUGUUUGGUCAGAAGCAGAGAACUAUGAUUUGGCUCUGAGUUUUCAGGAGAAAGCUGGCUGUGAUGAGAUCUGGGAAAAAAUUUGUCAGGUUCAAGGUAAAGACCCAUCAGUGGAAGUCACACAGGACCUCAUUGAUGAAUCUGAAGAAGAACGAUUUGAAGAAAUGCCUGAAACUAGUCAUCUGAUUGACCUGCCCACAUGUGAACUCAAUAAACUUGAAGAGAUUGCUGACUUAGUUACCUCAGUGCUCUCCUCACCUAUCCGUAGGGAAAAGCUGGCUCUCGCCUUGGAAAAUGAAGGCUAUAUUAAAAAACUAUUGCAGCUGUUCCAAGCUUGCGAGAACCUAGAAAACACUGAAGGCUUACACCAUUUGUAUGAAAUUAUUAGAGGAAUCUUAUUCCUAAAUAAGGCAACUCUUUUUGAGGUAAUG